GACGAACGCUGGCGGCGUGCCUAAUACAUGCAAGUUGAGCGCUGAAGGUUGGUACUUGUACCGACUGGAUGAGCAGCGAACGGGUGAGUAACGCGUGGGGAAUCUGCCUUUGAGCGGGGGACAACAUUUGGAAACGAAUGCUAAUACCGCAUAAAAACUUUAAACACAAGUUUUAAGUUUGAAAGAUGCAAUUGCAUCACUCAAAGAUGAUCCCGCGUUGUAUUAGCUAGUUGGUGAGGUAAAGGCCCACCAAGGCGAUGAUACAUAGCCGACCUGAGAGGGUGGUCGGCCACAUUGGGACUGAGACACGGCCCAAACUCCUACGGGAGGCAGCAGUAGGGAAUCUUCGGCAAUGGACGAAAGUCUGACCGAGCAACGCCGCGUGAGUGAAGAAGGUUUUCGGAUCGUAAAACUCUGUUGGUAGAGAAGAACGUUGGUGAGAGUGGAAAGCUCAUCAAGUGACGGUAACUACCCAGAAAGGGACGGCUAACUACGUG
rnacentral:rRNA from 1 species